UACGGGGGGGGCAAGCGUUGUUCGGAAUUACUGGGCGUAAAGGGCUCGUAGGCGGCCAACUAAGUCAGACGUGAAAUCCCUCGGCUUAACCGGGGAACUGCAUCUGAUACUGGAUGGCUUGAGAUUGGGAGAGGGAUGCGGAAUUCCAGGUGUAGCGGUGAAAUGCGUAGAUAUCUGGAGGAACACCGGUGGCGAAGGCGGCAUCCUGGACCGGUAUUGACGCUGAGGAGCGAAAGCCAGGGGAGCAAACGGG
rnacentral:rRNA from 1 species